rnacentral:rRNA from 1 species
UACAGGGGGGGCAAGCGUUGUUCGGAAUUACUGGGCGUAAAGGGCUUGUAGGUGGCCAACUAAGUCACACGUGAAAUCCCCAGGCUUAACCUGGGAACUGCGUGUGAUACUGGAUGGCUUGAAUCCGGGAGAGGGAUGCGGAAUUCCAGGUGUAGCGGUGAAAUGCGUAGAUAUCUGGAGGAACACCGGUGGCGAAGGCGGCAUCCUGGACCGGUAUUGACACUGAAAAGCGAAAGCCAGGGGAGCAAACGGG